rnacentral:rRNA from 1 species
ACAGAGGUCCCAAGCGUUGUUCGGAUUCACUGGGCGUAAAGGGUGCGCAGGUGGGUUUGCAAGUUCGAUGUGAAAUCCCCGGGCUCAACCCGGGAACUGCGUCCGAUACUGGAAGGCUUGAAUCCGGGAGAGGGAUGCGGAAUUCCAGGUGUAGCGGUGAAAUGCGUAGAUAUCUGGAGGAACACCGGUGGCGAAGGCGGCAUCCUGGACCGGCAUUGACGCUGAGGCGCGAAAGCCAGGGGAGCAAACGGGA